AUUCCCCCCAUCUGCUCACACACAACACCAAUGGACAGCGCACAGGUUUCUGACAGCACUCACACAUGCAGGCUGCAAACGGGACGCACAGAGUUACGAUGAACGUCGCUGGCAGACAGCCGCAUGGAUGGUUCUCUCACUACAUCAAACACACAUCAAAACAUAUUUAAUGCAUCUACUGAGAAUAUUGGACAAACUUUUUACGGGAAAAUACUCUUCAUUUUGCAUUUUCUCCAAUAAAACCUUUAUAGUUUUUA